GGUGAACGCUAGCGGCAGGCUUAACACAUGCAAGUCGAGGGGUAUUGGUUUUCGGACCAAGAGACCGGCGCACGGGUGCGUAACGCGUAUGCAAUCUACCUUUUGCAGAGGGAUAGCCCAGAGAAAUUUGGAUUAAUACCUCAUAGUAUAGUACUUUGGCAUCAAGGAACUAUUAAAGUCACAACGGCAAAAGAUGAGCAUGCGUCCCAUUAGCUAGUUGGUAAGGUAACGGCUUACCAAGACAAUGAUGGGUAGGGGUCCUGAGAGGGAGAUCCCCCACACUGGUACUGAGACACGGACCAGACUCCUACGGGAGGCAGCAGUGAGGAAUAUUGGUCAAUGGGCGCAAGCCUGAACCAGCCAUGCCGCGUGCAGGAAGACGGUCCUAUGGAUUGUAAACUGCUUUUAUACAGGAAGAAACCCUCCCACGUGUGGGAGCUUGACGGUACUGUAGGAAUAAGGAUCGGCUAACUCCGUGCCAGCAGCCGCGGUAAUGUAGUCG
rnacentral:rRNA from 1 species